UACGUAGGGUGCAAGCGUUAAUCGGAAUUACUGGGCGUAAAGCGUGCGCAGGCGGUGAUGUAAGUCUGCUGUGAAAUCCCCGGGCUCAACCUGGGAAUGGCAGUGGAUACUGGGAGGCUAGAGUGUGUCAGAGGAUGGUGGAAUUCCCGGUGUAGUGGUGAAAUGCGUAGAUAUCGGGAGGAACACCAGUGGCGAAGGCGACUUCCUGGCCUGUUCUUGACGCUGAGGCGCGAAAGCUAGGGUAGCAAACGGG
rnacentral:rRNA from 1 species